AUUGAACGCUGGCGGCAUGCUUUACACAUGCAAGUCGAACGGCAGCGGGGUAGUGCUUGCACUACUGCCGGCGAGUGGCGAACGGGUGAGUAAUAUAUCGGAACGUACCGAGUAAUGGGGGAUAACCAAUCGAAAGAUUGGCUAAUACCGCAUACGUCCUGAGGGAGAAAGCGGGGGAUCGCAAGACCUCGCGUUAUUCGAGCGGCCGAUAACUGAUUAGCUAGUUGGUGGGGUAAAGGCCUACCAAGGCGACGAUCAGUAGCGGGUCUGAGAGGACGAUCCGCCACACUGGGACUGAGACACGGCCCAGACUCCUACGGGAGGCAGCAGUGGGGAAUUUUGGACAAUGGGGGCAACCCUGAUCCAGCCAUGCCGCGUGUAUGAAGAAGGCCUUCGGGUUGUAAAGUACUUUUGUUAGGGAAGAAAAGGGAGGUGCUAAUACCACUUUUUGCUGACGGUACCUAAAGAAUAAGCACCGGCUAACUACGUG
rnacentral:rRNA from 1 species